UACAUGGGGUGCAAACGUUGCUCGGAAUUAUUGGGCGUAAAGCGCGCGUAGGCGGUUACUUAAGUCGGAUGUGAAAGCCCUCGGCUUAACUGAGGAAGUGCACCCGAAACUGAGUAGCUAGAGUACGAAAGAGGGUCGCGGAAUUCCCGGUGUAGAGGUGAAAUUCGUAGAUAUCAGGAGGAACACCGGUGGCGAAGGCGGGUCUCUGGGCCGAUAUUGACGCUGAGGAGCGAAAGCGUGGGGAGCAAACAGG
rnacentral:rRNA from 1 species